GUGCUCAUGUUUACAACCUGUACUGACAGAACAGUACAGAGAUUAGCAUGGCCCCUGCACAAGGAUGACAUAAAAAAAUUCAAUAAGCUUCUAUAUUGUU
rnacentral:snRNA from 1 species